rnacentral:pre_miRNA from 1 species
AGGAGGAACAACCCCAGUGGCGGGGCCAGCUCUGGAGCCCUGGAUUCAGCCCCCGCAGUAACUCCGGAGCUCUCCGUCUGCAGGGCCUGGAGGCUCCGGGGCGGG